AAUUGAAACGCUGGGCGGCAGGCCUAAACACAUGCAAAGUCGAGCGGAUGAAGGGAGCUUGCUCCUGGAUUCAGCGGCGGACGGGUGAGUAAUGCCUAGGAAUCUGCCUGGUAGUGGGGGAUAACGUCCGGAAAACGGGCGCUAAUACCGCAUACGUCCUGAGGGAGAAAGUGGGGGGAUCUUCGGACCUCACGCUAUCAGAUGAGCCUAGGUCGGAUUAGCUAGUUGGUGGGGUAAAGGCCUACCAAGGCGACGAUCCGUAACUGGUCUGAGAGGAUGAUCAGUCACACUGGAACUGAGACACGGUCCAGACUCCUACGGGAGGCAGCAGUGGGGAAUAUUGGACAAUGGGCGAAAGCCUGAUCCAGCCAUGCCGCGUGUGUGAAGAAGGUCUUCGGAUUGUAAAGCACUUUAAGUUGGGAGGAAGGGCAGUAAGUUAAUACCUUGCUGUUUUGACGUUACCAACAGAAUAAGCACCGGCUAACUUCGUGCCAGCAGCCGCGGUAAUACGAAGGGUGCAAGCGUUAAUCGGAAUUACUGGGCGUAAAGCGCGCGUAGGUGGUUCAGCAAGUUGGAUGUGAAAUCCCCGGGCUCAACCUGGGAACUGCAUCCAAAACUACUGAGCUAGAGUACGGUAGAGGGUGGUGGAAUUUCCUGUGUAGCGGUGAAAUGCGUAGAUAUAGGAAGGAACACCAGUGGCGAAGGCGACCACCUGGACUGAUACUGACACUGAGGUGCGAAAGCGUGGGGAGCAAACAGGAUUAGAUACCCU
rnacentral:rRNA from 1 species